UCUCCGUUGGUGAACCAGCGGAGGGAUCAUUACAGGACUCGCAAGACUCCUACAACCCUGUGAACUUAACUAUAAGCACGUUUCUUCGGCGGGUGUCUCGGAGGGGGUUCUCCCUCCCCGAGACGCUAAACCCGCCGGCAGCCUACUAUACUCUGUCUCUUUGCGUUGGCAUCUCGAGUACAAUCAAACAAGUUAAAACUUUCAACAACGGAUCUCUUGGUUCUG
rnacentral:misc_RNA from 1 species